ACAGUACGAACUGAGCAGGCGAUGGAUUUCCAUGGGGCCGGGCCACUGUUGUGGCAGCAGAUGAAGUUAUAAACAGCAGCAUCUGUGGGACAGU
rnacentral:ncRNA from 1 species